AGUGAACGCUGGCGGUAGGCCUAACACAUGCAAGUCGAACGGCAGCACAGUAAGAGCUUGCCCUUACGGGUGGCGAGUGGCGGACGGGUGAGGAAUACAUCGGAAUCUACUUUUUCGUGGGUGACAACGUAGGGAAACUUACGCUAAUACCGCAUACGACCUACGGGUGAAAUCAGUGGAUCUUCGGACCUUGCGCGAUUGAAUGAGCCGAUGCCGCAUUACCUAGUUGGCGGGGUAAAGGCCCACCACGGCCACGAUCCGUAACUGGGCUGAGAGGAUGGUCCGCCCCACUUGAACUUGACCACGGUCCAGAAUCCUACGGGAGGCAGGAGUGGGGAAUAUUGGACAAUGGGCGCAAACCUGAUCCAGCCAUCCCGCGUGGGUGAAGAAAGCCUUAGGGUUGUAAAGCCCUUUUGUUGAGAAAAAAACGAAGCAGGUUAAUACCACGCUGUUCUGACGGUACCCAAAGAAUAAGCACCGGCUAACUUCGUG
rnacentral:rRNA from 1 species